UAAAUUCUCUAUUCCAGUCCUGCUCAAAUUGACCAAAUUCUGUGAGUUGAAAAUAUCAGCAACACCAGCAGCCCCAUUUCCAUUGCCAUUAAGUAGGGCUCCAUCCUGUUUCAGAUUUCCUUUGUGAAGCCCGCAUUCCUUAGCCUUAGCAUCCUCCCACCACCAUCUCCCUUCUCUCUCGUGUUGGCCAGGAAGAACGGGUCUUGUGCAAGGCUCACAGCCAAUUGAGACGUACCCCUGUGAAUGCAAUGAGUUUACAGGCACAUUCAUUGCUCGAAGGAAGUUCCAUACAUUUACCCCGUCAACAUUUGCCAAAGGAUUCCACUUGAUCAGACUGCCAACCCCACCAUCCAUUCCCUCAAAAACUGGGUCCACCU
rnacentral:misc_RNA from 1 species